rnacentral:misc_RNA from 1 species
GCUGGAAACUGAACGGAAGUAUUCGCGCAUACAAUGGCGGCGACGUCCUGGUUCUCUAGGGGGCGCGCCGUGCGCCGUUGAACCGCAGCCACGCGUCUACCGGGCGCUCCCUGCACGUCAUUGCUUAUUCUUUGGGUACGUGCUGCGCGGUAGGCGUGCCUACACGGACAUGGCUGCACCGCACGCCUUGACGCAGGCGGGGCCGCGGCCAUGAGUCCUGUGGCAGCGGGUGCGUCGAGCGGAAGGGGCCCGCGGAUAGGCAUGCGCCUGCUCGCGAGGAGACCACGUAGCCUGCCGCUCCGAAGGGGCACCGGAGGGCAACCGCAGGCGCCCGACGGCGGAAGCCCGUGCAGCGCGAGCGAUCCGCGAAUCUCGCGUGGCAUAGCGGGCACAGCGCCGGGACGGACGCCCUCGGUAGGCAAAGCAGGGCGGGCGGAGGCUCUGGCGGGUGCGGGGUACCACAAUGCUAGCGGAGACGUGGGCAGCACACCAUCUGCGCUCCGUGUUGUCACUGCGGGUCACCCGCCGUUGCAGGAAUCCGAAGCACCAGCCGGGUGCCCGUGCGGGACUGCACGAGCACCGUCUCCUGUCGUCUUGUAAGCUGGGCAGCCGCGUCCUUCUGGUGUGGGACGACUGCCGCCAAGGAGCUGUUGUCUCAGUGUGUCGCGUCGCGAUCGCGGUUUUUUUGAUAGAUGUCGCUCUUGCGUCUGAGGCUGACAGCCAGAUCGGUAAUCUGUGCAGCUGGCUUUGGCUCUUGUGGCAUUGCUGAUUCGCCAAGGUUGUGGGUGUGCUUUAUCCAGAAUGGCUACAGGCAAACUGAAAUUUGGCGCGUGCUACCACCGCGCACGAGGGGGGAGGUGUGUACGUGAAGAGCUGUGAGUUGUGUCGAUGCCUGUACACCCGAAUGAGAGCUGCCGAAGUGCUGUGACGACACUGUGGUCCGGCCUGUGCACCUCUCGCCUCAAAUAUGCAAGGUGGCGACCUGGGGUGACUGCAGAAUGACACAAGCGGGCGCGGCGCAACUGCUUGUAUGGGGUCGAGUGGACAGGAGAUCGGCCUCUUCGAGUAGAGCUCGAUUGUCUGCGUUUUUGGGGGUGGCCACUGCGACGGCUGCUACUCUGGCGUGAAGGUCCACACAGGCUUCCUGCAGUUUCCAACCAGCACUCUCCGACCACGCGGCGGCACCGUGGAGCAACGCUGUCUCCAGCCGUGCCAUGGAGUAGCGGAGGAGAUCCGUGGACGGGUCGCAUUCGUGCGGGCACACUGCCCUCAGCAUGGCACGCCGGGUUUUACCCACUUUGACAACCGCUGCAGCCUGUGGGCCAAUGCGGCGCGUGGGCUGGGUGUCCACGCGAAGGCGGGGUUGGCGAUGCUCUUCUAGGUGCGUGCUUGCAGCAGAGAGCUGCUGCUGCUUGCAGUGCGGCGCACCGGCGAGUUUGCGCCUACUGUUGGGGUCGCUCAGCUGUAAGAACUUUUCCACCCCUCAGAGGGCGAAUCGCAGUGUGGUGUGAUGAGCACAGAAGGCGUGGUGCCGUGCCGGCAUCCGGUUGCGCUGCACGAUCGGGGGUCCACCACCCUGAUGAGGCGAAGAGGGUCCAGGAGGGAUGGUUGUGUGACUGGGCAUGCAAGCCUUGCAAUCUUCGACUUGUUCUUGUGGGCGCGAACACAGAGGGCGGGGCGAUGGUCUGGGAGAGCCAUGAUGCGGCGAGUGUGGUGCGGGCCGCGUUUGGGCCUCUGAGGGGCCGUGAUGUUCGCAGCCGCGUGUGCCGGUGUAGGGCCGACAAAUGCCGCGGCGGUCUUGGUACCUUGCUGGCGCGGCACUGGCUUGUUGGGGGAGCAAGCCAAAGGGGUCUACAGCGGAGCAGGGUGAGGAUGGAGGUCGUACGGGUGCUGCUGGAGCGUGUAUCGCAGAACGGUCGCGCAGUCGUCGCGAGGCGAUUCGCUGAAGGGGCUUUUUCGCCGGGCGCUGGUCAGCGCCACAGGGCGGGGCGGAGUGAGGGCGCAGCAGGAUUGCAUCCAUCCCUCGAGGCUGGCUCUUUGAUAAGCAUGCCCGAGAGAGGGCGGCGUGCAGGGUACCCUCUAGAGAGCCGCGUCAGUUUUGGCGUCCAGAACGGUUUGCAAGCGGCUUUAACACAUGGAGCAGCUUUCCAGUUGGUCUUGACCACAAACCUCGUUAUGAAUUUCACCUCAUGUAUGAGAGAGACUUCAUGGUUGAGUAUGUUGUGGCUUUGACUGCAUGGACGAUCCGCCUUUCCUCCCCUGGUGUGCUUUAGGGUUGCCGCGCACUCUGCGAUCCCCGCUUCCUCGCGACUGUGGCUGGCAGGGCCUUUGCGGGCCGAUUUUUCAGCCGGGGCAUCAGCCCAGGCGCCCCGCCAUAACCCCCUUUUUACCCCAACAUCGCCUCGCCGGCUUUCGCGCGAUGGCCGGCGCGGGGCUGCCGGGCGCCCCCGUGGCCCCCAAAGCCCUCCUCCCGAGGGGGGCACCCGCCCAAAAGCCCCGCGCGGCGAAGCGCCCGCCCGGGAAAGGCGGGGCCGGGGGCCGCGCCCGGCGACAGGCCCACACACCCCAAAACGCGACCCGAAAGGGCGCGCCGGGGCCACCGAAGCAAAGCCCCACACCCGGGAACGGGGGGCUUGGGGCCGAAGCCUACGCGCACACCCCCUCGCCCACAACGACGCCGCCGCCGCGCCUCCUUUCCCUAUGCAAAGACGCCGAAAACCAAAGAACAAGCGCCUCACAGACCCGUUGGGGUGCAAUGCGCCUUUUUCUGAGCACAGACUUGCGCGAGCAUUCGCUAAGGAGCCGGGCUGAGCACCGCCCGGCGUCGUUCAGCCCACUCCGAUUCCAGAGCACACACCCCGCCCCCUUGGCCCCGCGCCACGCCCAACACCGCCGCAACGCAGCAAAAGCAGAAACACAGCAGGUGGGAUGCGCCUACUCGUUUGAUCGCCGACACGAUUCGUGGUGAGCUGGUGCAAACGCGCUCAUGACUGCAGGCCUCCUCCGCGCAGCGCCAGCCCAGGCCUGUCCGCCGACAUCGAGAGUCCGCAGCCGUACAACCCGCUGAACAAGUGCGCCUAAAAGAGGGAAAUCCUUUGAACUAUGCUUUCCGAAGUCAAAAUCAUCGUUGUCGUUUAGUAAGAGACUUGCGGAAGUCAAGUGCUGCCUUGCUGUGGAGCCUUGGCGAUGUCUUCUGUUCACAUGGCGCCUUCUGACGAUUGAACAAAAUCUCGUGAGACAAGCUGCGGGCGCCCCCCCCCACCUGUGCGGGUCCCCGCGGCGAAGGCGGCGGUGAGGGUGUGGCCGAUCCCCGCUCGAGGACGAGAUUUCAAAGCCCAAAUCGAGACAACAACCCGCCCUUCCAACCGCCACGGAAGCGCACCAGGCCCCGCCCUUUCCCCCAGAGAAGCUCUGCGGGACAGAUCACCAACUAUCCCCAGAAGUAAAUUCACAGGGAGUUGCACACCAGAUAGCCAAGGGCUUCAUCCUAGGUGGACGGCAUCUUCGAGUGUGCGCCUCCGUUUUUCCUGCGCAAAUUGGAAAUAAUCACGAACAGCCACUGAGUUUGCCGAACCAAGCGAUGUACCGACAAAUUUUCCGUGUUACUAGAGCUUGGGCUGUCAAGCCAAAUACGUGUUACCUCUAGGCGGUAUGUUUCUUAGAGGCUGAGCUUUUCUUUCCUCCUGUGUUUCGUCAGUAUUUUCCGUGCAUGUUCACGAGUGCGCAAUGUAUGUAGCACACGUGAAGGUUCCGUCCUGACCACUUUGCUUCCCGAAAAUUGUAUAUCGAACUGACCAGUAGUCAGCGAGGAGCGCAGCGUCUUGCUUCAUUGGCGUGUAAAGACAGUUUUGCGCUUCGCUCGAAGCUUCAUCGCCUGAUUUUUACGCCUGUACAUUGUAAAAAGUAAGUGCAGCAGCCGUGCAGAUAUUCUCGACCCUCGCUCGUAGGACAUGCGAGCUGUAUAUGUGUGCUCAGAUUUGCACAGCGGAAAAUUUACAGGACUGUCUUGACUCUAUGCGCCUUCCCAUGUGAUAGAAAUGCUGCUAUACAAGCUUCCGAGCAAGUUGCACCCCAAUAAGGUUACGAGCACGCCAGAAAUGCGCUUUUCAGCGCACAGUGGGAAUAUUUGGUGUAGCUCGCCGCUUUUAUUGCAGUGAGACCAAACUUUCGAAUGCGCUACAAUCGCAUCAACACAAGCUCCAUAGCUAUGCGUUCCUAUCGCUCGGUUAUGCAUUAGGGCUGGCAACUUCUUGACACUGCUUUCGUAGUAUUCGGAUGAAGCGACGCAGUGUACUGCCUCCAUGCGCUGUUUUUGCCACGAGUUGCAUAUUUUUCCUUGUCUUCCUCGUAAGUCGAAGUGUAUUCGGCAUUUUGUUUUUCGCCUUUUCGCCUUGUGUUCUGGUAUAAGUUUUCUGGGCGUAUUCAAGCUCUAUUCGCACCUCUGAAGUGAGGUGGGAAAGGUAGGGAUGACUACCUCCUAUAGCUCUAAACCAGUUAGUAGUGAGAAAUAUGUUGCAUGGGUUGAUGAUUGUGUUACGUCCUCAAUGUUAAGUUGGCUGACGGAAAGUACGUCUGGCUCGUGUCACUGAAGUCAUCAGAGUCUGCCAUUGUCUGGCAAAUCCCAACAAGAAGGAAAAACACGCUGGCCUCUGCCUCGCAACACAUUUUUUUCCUUCUGUCUGUUGUCAGCAACCUUGGCUCUCUAUUCACAAAAUUAAGCAACACUUCCGUCAUUAUAUUUUCUUUUGAUCGCUGGCUCCGCUGUUUUAUACUUGAAAUCCAGCAUUUUUUCAGUGUGCUAAUGACUGAGUCUCCAGAUUACUAGCGUAGCGCCCAGAAAACGUGCUUUUGUACCCUUUUUGUGGAAAAGACGUCGUUUGAAAUGUUUUCUGUUCUUUUUGCCGAAAAGUGCCGGGCACUCCGAAAGGAGCAGCACUUCCUUUUCUAAUCCAUGCGUGCGAGUGUGGGGACUGUGCGGGGUCAAUGAACACCAAGAAGAAAAUCUCGUCUACAGCGCAGCGUCAGAAAGGAGUUGGGUGGCAUUUGCUUCUCCACGCGAUCGCACUCCCAGUUAGUGUUCCGCUCGCGUUUUCCAGAUUGUACAAAAAGUUUCUUCACCGUUUUUUUUAUAUUGUUUUCACUACCGCUGGUAACUAAGAGGGUCUUUGUCGUAUAGCAGCGGCUCAUUUUUCUUUUGACCUUUGCUACGUUCACUUUUUUCUCUCCGGUCGACCGGUUCUUAUAGCGUACUCAGGGUUGAUGAAUUCGAAAUCACAGAAUAGUUUUUCGACUAGCUGCAUGAUACUGCGCUAGCACGACCUGAACAGAGCGUUUCUAAUGUAUAACGUGCCUUAUUUUUUAUUGCUGAUGAAGGGAAUGGACUAAAGAAGUGAUUCUCGUAGCGACCAUAUGUGUCUUUGAUAUGCAGCGUUGGUGGGCAUGUUCACGAAGCAGCGGGAAUGAUGUGGCUGGAUAUUCUCCAAAGAGAGCACUUAAUCUGUGCACACUUUUUCCCCUUUACUGUUAAGCGGUUAUAAAGCAUGAGCAUUAUGCAGUUUCUGCGGCAGCAUGCUUUUUUUUUCUUGCUAUUCAACUCUGUCGCAAACCGCGUAUUUUCAAUUUCCCCCCUGGAUGCAUGUUUGAGUGCUCCACACAAAGGCGUCUCUGAACUAAUGCACCUGAUGCUCACAAGUGAGACAGUUCUCUCAGGGGUCAGAACUCUUCUAGGUGCCCAUUCGACGCAAGCACGUAACUUAGCUGAGGCUCACGCGAACCAGGGGUUUUCCAUAGAUAGAAGACUCUUUACCAUAGCUGCUAGCAAACGUGGGGCAAUUUCUUGAACGGGAAAGGGAGGAACGAGCUGAAUCGCUGCUUUCACAGAUUCUGUUUCAGGCGGCAUCAUUUUUAUUUUUAUUUUGGCCUUACUCCACCUGAUUCUGCCUGGACUGAUUCACUAUAAGAGGGAUUGAUGUGGUUUCUUCGUGCAAAAUCAAUGCUUUCAUGCAUGAGCGCCUACGCAUUACGGUUGCCCCCUCAAUUUGGUUACAAAAGUAAUAACUAGUGUAACCCUGAUGACGGAGGUCGCCUCAGUACGUGGUAUCUCAGGGUCUAGUAUUCCCAUAUUGUGUGGGAAGAGGCCCGGCAGCCCCCUAUCCCUGCGAGUGCCGAAUCGCUUCUGGUGGUGAAACGGUCAAACACCCACGGGGUAAGGGAGGGUGAAAGCGAUACAUCGCUACUGAUAUCGGGGGCCGUUUCCUGGAUUGCGUCACACCGAAGCGACUUUUAACAGUGCAUAGACUUGCACCAUCCACAAGAUGAGCAGAGUGCCAGCGUGACUUGAACGCACAUAUAACUCGACCUUCAUUGCCUGCUGGUGUGGGGAGCCUGCGCCACCGCGAAGGAUGCACCAGGUGGCGAGCUUCAAGGUGCCUAUGCGCACAGUGCGUGGUAGAGGCCGUGCUGAGGUAACUGGAUCGCAUUGAUCUACCGCGUUUUUACGGCUGCCUCGCACAAGCUGAUGGGGCCUGUGAAAGGCCUGGUAGACUGGAGCUGAAGUCAUGUUCUAGGGCAGAGAAUGGGCACAAGGAAGGAGAAAGAAAACAGAGGCGAGAUGUACGUUGCAUCACAGUUUUUGGAGAAGAGAGAGGAGUGGGAGAUGCAGGCGUCAAAGGAGUUUCUCCUUUGCAUACAUACCUUUGUGUCCAUGUCUAAUGCGCUUUGGUGUCGAGACUUGAUCCGCUUCUGUUUCUGUUUUCUGAGCAUGCGCAUGUGUACAAAACCGUCGUUCAUCUUUUUUUUUUUCAUAUCUGAACGCCUUUUCGAUCCCCCACCCCUUCGUUCUUGUGUUCCUGUUCUGCAUAGAAAUGCCUUUUUGCCUGCUGUCUUGGUGUUUCACUUUACUUCUUCUCCGUAUUGUUUCAAAGCUUUGCUUCCCCGUCCACACAGCUAAGGCAGCUUCUUUUUCUGGACGGUUCUUCUUCAUCUUGUUUCACUACUUUCUCCUCCUCUGUGUUUGUGUCGGCUCGUUUUCUCGACAUACGGCGAUGCAGUUUUAUCAUCUCUUGUUUCAGUUCUCAUCUUUGAUGGGUAGCGUCUGGGCCUGUGUGUGCCAGCCUGGUCUUUUUUCGAACUAUUCUCCCAUUAUUCACUAUCUUCCUGUGCUGUUUGGCUUUGCAGUAUAUAUAUAUAUAUAUAUAUAUAUAUAUAUAUAUAUGUGUGUGUGUAUGUGUGUGUCUCUGCUCUCCUUUUCUCUGUUUCUAUUCUUUGAAACUUUGCCUGUUUUUAUCCCAGCGGAUCAGCGAGUGUAGCCGUGUGUGGGUGUGUGCCGAUCUGUGCUAGCUGAUUCGGUUGUCCGAAAUGGAAGUGACAAGCAAGAGAAACAUAGCAACUGAUUCGGUGAUCAGCGAAAGCAGAGUAGCGCCAAGAGCUGUUCUUUGAGGCGCUGGCCCUCAUGGUCAUACAAACGUGCACCUACAUGCACAUGCCGCAUGAGAGGUGCUUGGCUCAUGCGGGCGCUCGCUGAUGGCAGUAUGUGGGGAGUUGCGGGACUGCGCUGUGACGUGGAAAUGGUGCCACAGGGACCUCCUCCAAUCUCAUAACCCCUCGCUGCUGCUGCCCUUCGUACCCCGUAG